rnacentral:rRNA from 1 species
UACGGGAGGUGCGAGCGUUGUUCGGAAUCACUGGGCGUAAAGAGCACGUAGGCGGGUUCGUAUGUCAUCUGUGAAAACCCUGGGCUCAACCUGGGACCUGCAGGUGAAACUGCGAAUCUUGAAUACCUAAGAGGGUGGGGGAAUUCCUGGUGGAGAAGUGAAAUUCGUAGAUAUCAGGAGGAACAUCGGAGGCGAAGGCGCCUGCCUGGUAGUGUAUUGACGCUGAGGUGCGAAAGUGCGGGGAGCAAAC